AAGAUCGCGUUCUCCUUCCUCCUCCCGCCCGCGAGGGGCGUUAUUGCCGCCCGGCCGUUGAGGACGAGGGUGUUUCCAUGAUGUCACGGGCGGCGCCUCGCGGCCAGUUUAGCCAUCAAAUCGAUUUGCGGUGCCCAAGAUGCAAAUGCAUUUGCUGACAGCUCAUCCGAGACGUCUGCCAAGCGCUCAGCAGGUGUCAAAGAGUUUCAGGACAGGAGUCAUGUAAGUGUGGAACUCAGCUGUCAGCUCUGAAAACCAAGUCCUGGUCU
rnacentral:lncRNA from 1 species